UUAAAUUUUAUUUAUUAAUUUUAUUUAUUUAAGUAUUUUAUUUAAUAAAAAUAAUUUUAAUUAAUUAUGGUUUUAGUAUUUUUUAAAGAAAUAAUAAUUUUAAUAAUAGUUUAUUUGUAUUGUAAAAGAAUAUUGAAAUAAUUUGAAAAAUUUUUAUUUUAAAAGAAAAUUUAAUUUAUUGUACCUUGUGUAUCAGGGUUUAUUAAUUAAUUAAUUAUUAUAAUAAUUUUUCUCGAAUUUUAAAGAUUUAGUUAUAUAUAAAAGUUACUGUGGAAUAAUUAUUUUUAAUAUAUAACUAGAAAUGAAACGUUAAUCGUUUUAAAAUAUAUCUAGUUUUUUAAGAAAUAAAUUUAAUUUAGAUUUAUUAAUUAAAAAGAUUAUUUAUUUAAUAUUUUUAUUUGAUAAAAUUAAUAUUUUAAGGGAUUAGCUUUAAAAUAAAUUUUUAAAUUUUUAAUAAAAUAAUUAAUAAAUGUAAGCUUAAAAAUAGUUAUCAUUAAUAAAUUUGUUAUAAUUUAUUUUAAAUUUUUUAUUAUUUAUUAUAAAAUUAAAUUAUUUAUUAAAAUAUAAAUUUUAAUUUUAAUAAUUUAUAAAUUAUGAUAAAAUUAGUAUAUUUAGUUUAUAUAAAUUAUUUAAAUUGAGAGGUUUAAAUAAGGAAUUCGGCAAAUUAUAUAUUCACCUGUUUAUCAAAAACAUGUCUUUUUGUAUUUAAUUUAAAGUCUAACCUGCCCACUGAUAAUUAUUAAAGGGCCGCAGUAUUUUGACUGUGCGAAGGUAGCAUAAUCAAUAGUCUUUUAAUUGAAGGCUUGUAUGAAUGGUUGAAUGAGAUAUAUACUGUCUUUUUUAAAUUUUUAUAGAAUUUUAUUUUUUAAUUAAAAAGUUAAAAUAUAAUUAAAAGACGAGAAGACCCUAUAGAUCUUUAUUUUUGUUAAUUAUAAAUUAAAAAGAAUAAUUAAAUUUAUAAUUUAAUAAAAAAUUUUACUGGGGUGGUAUUAAAAUUUAAUUAACUUUUAUUAUUUAUUUACAUUAAUAUAUGAAUAUUUGAUCCAAUUAUAUUGAUUAAAAAAUUAAGUUACCUUAGGGAUAACAGCGUAAUUUUUUUUUAGAGUUCUUAUCGACAAAAAAGAUUGCGACCUCGAUGUUGGAUUAAGAGUUAUUUUUAGGUGUAGAAGUUUAAAGUUUAGGUCUGUUCGACCUUUGAAUUCUUACAUGAUCUGAGUUCAAACCGGCGUAAGCCAGGUUGGUUUCUAUCUUUAAUUAAUUAUUAUAUUAUAGUACGAAAGGACCUAAUAUAAAAAAUAUAAAUUUUAAAUAUAUGAAUUAUAUUAA
rnacentral:rRNA from 1 species